rnacentral:rRNA from 1 species
UACAGGGGGUGCAAACGUUGCUCGGAAUCAUUGGGCGUAAAGCGCACGUAGGCGGUUCGUUAUGUCGGAUGUGAAAGCCCUUGGCUUAACCGAGGAAGUGCAUCCGAAACUGGCGAGCUAGAGUACGAAAGAGGAGUCGCGGAAUUCCCGGUGUAGAGGUGAAAUUCGUAGAUAUCGGGAGGAACACCGGUGGCGAAGGCGGCGAUCUGGGUCGAUACUGACGCUGAGGUGCGAAAGCGUGGGGAGCAAACAGGG